rnacentral:rRNA from 1 species
CACACCGCCCGUCACACCAUGGGAGUUGGUUUUACCUGAAGCUGGUGCGCUGACCGCAAGGAGGCAGCCAACCACGGUAAGGUCAGCGACUGGGGUG